rnacentral:lncRNA from 1 species
AAAAAAGAUUUUGGUUUAGUCUUCCAACCUCAAAGUUAAUUAGCCCCAAAUUCAUGAUCCAAUUUCCUUCAAGUCCAAAAUAUUGAACCCAUAUUUAUUACCUAUUUGAUCUAACUUAAUUCCUACCCCUAUAAAAUAACGCUAGCCCAUAAAAUCAAGAUAGAACUUAAAUCCCAAAAAGAUCUAGGCAGUCGUUUCCUCUAAAAGAUCCCAUCAAAUUUUGAGGUGACCUUCAUCUUCACCAUACACACGAGAGAGACCAAGAAAACAUAAGCCUCCUCUUAACUUUUCAAUUUUCUCUUUUAAUUGGGAAGGAGACUAGCAACUAACACCACAAAAUGACCCCAAAAAUCAGCUCUGAAGAACUCAUCAACAACCACUAAAACCAGCCAAAAAUGUGCCAAAACAGCCCUGUUUUCACCACCAAAAUACAGCAGCAAAUAGUCUUAAUAUCAACACUUCAUACUCAGCAAGAACAGCUCUAUUUUCAGCCAUAUCCCGGAAAAAAUUCCAGCCAAAAACUCUAAGAAAGGUUGCUGAAAAUCAGUCCAAACAAUCAACAAAAAUAAAUUAUUUUUGCACAAAAAACGCAGCUGAAAUUCCCAUAAAAAUAGCUCCAAAGAAGUGGCAGGAAACACCUGCUAAAAACAUUCCAAAGUCAGGUCACAUCUAGCUUCGAAAUCCCAUGAAAUAAGCUAAAAUUCCAACUCCAGAUCAGCCCAAAUCAUCCCCAAAACACCUCCGAACCCAGCUCCAAAACAGCUCGCUUCCGUCUUUUUCGACCCAGUUGAAAUUCGAACUCAUAGGUCAGCCGAGGUCUCUGUUGAGGUUCGCUCGUCAAGCUCGGUUCUAGUUUGCUGCUAAUUGCCGCUUUGAGGUUGUACUCAGAUGUUUAUUCUCAAAUAAAAGUUCGAAUGGAAACUAUCCAAAAGGUUCAUUUUUCCUCUUUACUAUUAUUUUUGUUCAUUUUAUUUUCUGUGAUUUUGGUUUGUGAGGCAAUGCGUUUUUGGAUUACUCGUUUGUUUACGCCUUUUAAAUAAGCUUUAGUCCUUUUCAUUAUUUUGUUUGUGUCUUAUUUUUAUUUUUUUUGGUUCUUAGUUUUUCUUUUUUAAAAAGAAGACAAAUGUAUUGUGUUUGCUUGUGUAGCAGAUUAUUGGGGAUCGAUUUGCUGUACACAUUUAAUGCCUUGUAUGAUUAAAUUAGAAAUAGACGUAGGUUUGAACAUAUAUAAAUCAGAUUUGGGCAAAUGACAAGAUUCUACAAAGCCCAUAAUAAUAAAAUUCAUAGGCUAGCCUACCUUUUUCUAUAAUUAAUUUAUC